rnacentral:rRNA from 1 species
UACGGAGGGAGCUAGCGUUGUUCGGAAUUACUGGGCGUAAAGCGCGCGUAGGCGGCUUUGUAAGUUAGAGGUGAAAGCCCGGGGCUCAACCCCGGAAUUGCCUUUAAGACUGCAUCGCUUGAAUCCGGGAGAGGUGAGUGGAAUUCCGAGUGUAGAGGUGAAAUUCGUAGAUAUUCGGAAGAACACCAGUGGCGAAGGCGACUUACUGGACACAUAUUGACGCUGAGGUGCGAAAGCGUGGGGAGCAAACAGG